ACGCUCGACACCUACGGGAGGCAGCAGUGGGGAAUAUUGCACAAUGGGGGAAACCCUGAUGCAGCAACGCCGCGUGAGUGAAGAAGUAUUUCGGUAUGUAAAGCUCUAUCAGCAGGGAAGAUAAUGACGGUACCUGACUAAGAAGCUCCGGCUAAAUACGUGCCAGCAGCCGGGUAAUCUGAGCGGGCUGGCAAGGC
rnacentral:rRNA from 1 species